rnacentral:rRNA from 4 species
GGUUAAGCGACUAAGCGUACACGGUGGAUGCCCUGGCAGUCAGAGGCGAUGAAGGACGUGCUAAUCUGCGAUAAGCGUCGGUAAGGUGAUAUGAACCGUUA